rnacentral:misc_RNA from 1 species
UCCGAGUUGACAUGCGCAGGACGCCGGCAGAGAUGUCGGUUCCCUUGUGGCCUGUGUGCAGGUGGUGCAUGGCUGUCGUCAGCUCGUGUCGUGAGAUGUUGGGUUAAGUCCCGCAACGAGCGCAACCCUUGUCUCAUGUUGCCAGCACGUCAUGGUGGGGACUCGUGAGAGACUGCCGGGGUCAACUCGGAGGAAGGUGGGGAUGACGUACCAGUAUCGGAA